AGAGUUUGAUCCUGGCUCAGGAUGAACGCUGGCGGCGUGCUUAACACAUGCAAGUCGAACGAACCUUCGGGUUAGUGGCGGACGGGUGAGUAACGCGUGAGAAUCUGCCCUCAGGAGGGGGAUAACAGUUGGAAACGACUGCUAAUACCCCAUAUGCCGAGAGGUGAAAUGAAUUUCGCCUGGGGAUGAGCUCGCGUCUGAUUAGCUUGUUGGUGGGGUAAUAGCCUACCAAGGCUUCGAUCAGUAGCUGGUCUGAGAGGACGAUCAGCCACACUGGGACUGAGACACGGCCCAGACUCCUACGGGAGGCAGCAGUGGGGAAUUUUCCGCAAUGGGCGAAAGCCUGACGGAGCAACGCCGCGUGAGGGAUGGAGGCCUUUGGGCUGUAAACCUCUUUUCUCAAGGAAGAAGAUCUGACGGUACUUGAGGAAUAAGCCACGGCUAAUUCCGUGCCAGCAGCCGCGGUAAUACGGGAGUGGCAAGCGUUAUCCGGAAUUAUUGGGCGUAAAGCGUCCGCAGGCGGCCGUUUAAGUCUGUUGUUAAAUCGUGGAGCUCAACUCCAUCACGGCAAUGGAAACUGUUCGGCUUGAGUAUGGUAGGGGCAGAGGGAAUUUCCGGUGUAGCGGUGAAAUGCGUAGAUAUCGGGAAGAACACCAGUGGCGAAAGCGCUCUGCUGGGCCAUUACUGACGCUCAUGGACGAAAGCCAGGGGAGCGAAAGGGAUUAGAUACCCCUGUAGUCCUGGCCGUAAACGAUGAACACUAGAUGUUGGGGGAAUCGACCCCCUCGGUGUCGUAGCUAACGCGUUAAGUGUUCCGCCUGGGGAGUACGCACGCAAGUGUGAAACUCAAAGGAAUUGACGGGGGCCCGCACAAGCGGUGGAGUAUGUGGUUUAAUUCGAUGCAACGCGAAGAACCUUACCAAGGCUUGACAUCCUGCGAAUCUCUAAGAAAUUAGAGAGUGCCUUCGGGAACGCAGUGACAGGUGGUGCAUGGCUGUCGUCAGCUCGUGUCGUGAGAUGUUGGGUUAAGUCCCGCAACGAGCGCAACCCACGUUUUUAGUUGCCAGCAUUCAGUUGGGCACUCUAGAAAGACUGCCGGUGACAAACCGGAGGAAGGUGUGGACGACGUCAAGUCAUCAUGCCCCUUACGCCUUGGGCUACACACGUACUACAAUGCUGCGGACAAAGAGUAGCGAUCUUGCGAAAGUUAGCUAAUCUCAUAAACCGUGGCUCAGUUCAGAUCGUAGGCUGCAACUCGCCUACGUGAAGGAGGAAUCGCUAGUAAUCGCAGGUCAGCAUACUGCGGUGAAUACGUUCCCGGGCCUUGUACACACCGCCCGUCACACCAUGGAAGUUGGCCAUGCCCGAAGUCGUUACUCUAACCUUUUGGAAGAGGGCGCCGAAGGCAGGGCUAAUGACUGGGGUGAAGUCGUAACAAGGUAACC
rnacentral:rRNA from 1 species